CCUUGACCUUGUUAUUACCGUCGCUUGCAACUAACGAUGAACGGUCGCUCAUAAAAACAUUGCCUAUCGUGUGAGAAUCUUAAAGGUGAUCUAUAACAAAGCCUUUGUUUACAUUUUUGUGUCCAAAAUAUUGAGCUUUAUUCGACAACUAUUUAUAUUUUCAAGCUUCUAGAGUAUAAUAAAUGAUCAAGAAACAACAAUCAGGCUUUUCAAGAACUCAAAACAUAGUUAAACUGUUUGUAUCAUAAAAAGUGGGCUCAUUUGAGCACAUGCGCAGAUCGGACUGUAGAUCACCUUUAA